UUUCCCAUUUCAGGAGACAGAAGAGGUUGAACAGGUUGAAGGUCCAGGAGAUGCUGCCAGAAGGGGACUAGGGCUGGAGAUGUAUUUGGGGGGUGUACAAAGUUCCUGUUCUCUCUUCAUCCAGCCUCUUUUGAUAUAUCAGUCUUCCCUGGAGAAAAUAAGAAAUAAUUCCCUAUUUGCUGCACUCAGACAGGAAAAAAAUAUUGAUGAACAUAUACCCUGAAAAUAAUUCAAUCCUUUUCUGUUGAUUGUUUACAGUGUGAAAUAAUCCCACCUCUUUUCUAGUAAAUUCCAGUUUUUGGGUCAAUCAGUUACAGCUGUGCUAAUCCACAGUUACUGACUUCUUUGCCUGCUGAUGUCUCCAUGGUGAAACCUGCAGAUGAAACCUGGGUGACCUCCCUCUGCCUUUCCUACCGUGUUUAGAAAACAACAGAUAAGGUACUGCAGUAAGGUCAAGUGCAACAGUGGUCUGAGACUGCAGUAAGGGAAAUUGAAACUAGUCAAAAACUGACCUCAACUAGGACCACAUACAGGAUGGGCAGACAAGUACUGUGGCAUCUCUUUGGGAUACAGAAGGACUCUGAUGGAUGCUACAGGGAUGCAAGUUGCUGUUAUGCAAGAACAAUUUUACUUAGGAGACCCUGGCUACUCAUCUGUGCACAUGGCUGAGAUGCUUUCCAGCCCUUCCCUCUUCCCUUCAGCAGCUGCAAUCCUCAAGGAGAAAAUAGACACAACUUUCAUAGAGAGAGGGAAAUGUGUAAGCCCAAAUGAAGACUUUACAAUGGUGUCAUUAGUGGGUUCAGCUUCAAAGGCAUUGGAAACAAUAAUUUAUCUUUUCCAUCAUCUAGGUACACUAACACUAAUGCUCCAUAACAUGUCUUCUAUAAAAAAUCCUUCCCACAGUUCUGGAGCAGGGCCAAGUGGCAUCAGGCAUGGGGUACCCCUGCUAGCUCAUGACAGCAAGUAUCCUCCUGUCCCAGCUCUCCCCCUAACCAGUAAUGGCUGCUGUGGGUGUCUAUUUUUUGGUCUCAUUGCUGAGUAUCAGGACAGGGCACCUGGGCC